rnacentral:tRNA from 1 species
ACGGGCAUAGCUCAGUUGGUAGAGCGGCGGUCUCCAAAACCGCAGGUCGUAGGUUCGAGCCCUGCUGCCCGUGUCA